UACAGAGGUCUCAAGCGUUGUUCGGAUUCAUUGGGCGUAAAGGGUGCGUAGGUGGCGGGGUAAGUUGGAUGUGAAAUCCCGGGGCUCAACCCCGGAACUGCAUUCAAUACUGCCUUGCUGGAGUACUGGAGAGGAGAUUGGAAUUUACGGUGUAGCAGUGAAAUGCGUAGAUAUCGUAAGGAAGACCAGUGGCGAAGGCGGAUCUCUGGACAGUUACUGACACUGAGGCACGAAGGCCAGGGGAGCAAACGGG
rnacentral:rRNA from 1 species